GCAAUACUUAGUGGCACACGGGUGAGUAACAUGUAGGUAUCUGCCCUUUGGCCUGGAAUAACACGAGGAAACUUGUGCUAAUACCGGAUAAGUCUUUACGGAGAAAGCUUUAUGCACCAUUGGAUGAGCUUGCACUUGAUUAGUUUGUUGGUGGGGUAAUGGCCUACCAAGACUGUGAUCAAUAGCUGAUUUGAGAGGAAGUCCAGCCACAUUGGGAGUGAGACACGGCCCAGACUCCUACGGGAGGCAGCAGUGGGGAAUCUUGCACAAUGGGGGAAACCCUGAUGCAGCGAUGCCGCGUGAGUGAAGAAGGCCUUUGGGUUGUAAAACUCUUUCGUCGGGGAAGAAA
rnacentral:rRNA from 1 species